UGGGGAAUAUUGGACAAUGGGCGAAAGCCUGAUCCAGCCAUGCCGCGUGUGUGAAGAAGGUCUUCGGAUUGUAAAGCACUUUAAGUUGGGAGGAAGGGCAGUAAGCGAAUACCUUGCUGUUUUGACGUUACCGACAGAAUAAGCACCGGCUAACUCUGUGCCAGCAGCCGCGGUAAUACAGAGGGUGCGAGCGUUAAUCGGAUUUACUGGGCGUAAAGCGUGCGUAGGCGGCUAAUUAAGUCAAAUGUGAAAUCCCCGAGCUUAACUUGGGAAUUGCAUUCGAUACUGGUUAGCUAGAGUGUGGGAGAGGAUGGUAGAAUUCCAGGUGUAGCGGUGAAAUGCGUAGAGAUCUGGAGGAAUACCGAUGGCGAAGGCAGCCAUCUGGCCUAACACUGACGCUGAGGUGCGAAAGCAUGGGGAGCAAACAGG
rnacentral:rRNA from 1 species